rnacentral:rRNA from 1 species
AUUGAACGCUGGCGGCAUGCUUUACACAUGCAAGUCGAACGGUAACAGGCCUUCGGGCGCUGACGAGUGGCGAACGGGUGAGUAAUGCAUCGGAACGUGCCCAGUCGUGGGGGAUAACGCAGCGAAAGCUGUGCUAAUACCGCAUACGAUCUGCGGAUGAAAGCGGGGGACCUUCGGGCCUCGCGCGAUUGGAGCGGCCGAUGUCAGAUUAGGUAGGUGGUGGGGUAAAGGCUCACCAAGCCAACGAUCUGUAGCUGGUCUGAGAGGACGACCAGCCACAGUGGGACUGAGACACGGCCCAGACUCCUACGGGAGGCAGCAGUAGGGAAUUUUGGACAAUGGGCGCAAGCCUGAUCCAGCAAUGCCGCGUGCAGGAAGAAGGCCUUCGGGUUGUAAACUGCUUUUGUACGGAGCGAAAAGGCUCCCUCUAAUACAGGGGGCUCAUGACGGUACCGUAAGAAUAAGCACCAGCUAACUACGUGCCAGCCGCCGCAGUAAGAC